rnacentral:lncRNA from 1 species
UGCAAUCAACAUGGGGGGAAUUAAAAGACAGUGGAACUUGAAAUUAAAUUGCUAAAUUAGAAUUUAAAUGCACAUUGUAACUUGGAAUAAAAGGAGCAACAUUUAGCUAAUAAAUUAAAUGUGAUUCAUCACAGAAAUACUAAAAAGAAAUGCUUGAAGACAUAGUUAAAGUGAGUGAGUAAGCUGCUUCCACAUUGAACCACUAGUCGUUACCUCCUAAUUCAAAAC